AUGUGCUACACGCAUCCUAAGAAAUCGCUGCAAUGUGACGAUUGUUUGAGAUAUUGUAGAUCUGAUUUAUGUUAUGAAAUGCAUAAACAAGCACAAAGUGACGGUUCGAGGUCUCAGUGCGAUCUCAUAAAAUACUGUGACAAAUGUUACAGACAGUACAGAGCAAAAUGGUCUGGUGAACUAUUAACGCACAAAUGUGCACCAUCGAGAUUUGUGCAUUGCGCUGAAGUUCUGAUGGAUGAAGGUCACCAUUGUUGCUAUAUUCAGCCUGUCAAACCUAGCGAACAUAGCCAAGACUAUAUUUAUUUUGACUUCGAAAUGAUGUAUGAAAACGGUAGGCAUACGGCAAAUUAUAUUUGUGCAGCCACGCAAGCUGGGGAUGAAUUUAUGGCAAAAGGUGUAGACUGUGUAGAUCAGAUGGUUAAGCAUUUCAGAUGUCUGAAAUUUGAGAGUUUCACAUUUAUCGCCCACAAUUCUUCGGGUUUCGACUCUUUUAUAUUGCUCGAGUAUUUCACUAGUCAGGGACUAACGCCAAAAAUUAUACUCCAAGGCUGUAGACUUGUUUACAUGUAUGACCAAGCCUUUAAACAGAGAUACAUAGACAGCUAUAGCUUUUUGCCGAUGAAACUGUCAAAGAUGACAUCUGCUUUAAACAUAAACACCAGCGAAAAAGGAUUCUUUCCCCAUCAUUUUAAUCGCUUGCAGAAUGCAAAUUAUAUAGGCCCGUAUCCAUCAAAGAUAUAUUAUGGAUAUCAGACGAUGUCUGACGCUGAACGCGUGAAAUUUGAUUCGUGGUACGAAAGCAUGACAGGAGAGGUGUUUGACUUCAAAAAGCAACUAGCCUUGUACUGCAAGAAUGACGUUGUUUUGCUGCGAGAGGCUUGUAUGAAAUACAGAAAAGAGUUUAUAGAGUGUACAAACGUAGACCCUUUCGGUUGUACAACGUUAGCCGGAUGUGCUAUGAAAGUGUUCAAAACUCUUUUUUUAACCAAAGACACAAUUGCCCUAACGCAAAAAAAAUGCCUACAUCAAUCAGUACAAAUCUUACUCAAACACUUCCAUCCAAUGGUUUGA
ensembl:lncRNA